UUGUUGCAUGCUUUGCAAAUCGCUCUUUUUUCUUUUUCUUUUUGGUUUUCUUCUUGUGGUAUUUUUUGAAAAAGAAGCAA
rnacentral:ribozyme from 14 species